GCGUUAAUUGGGAGGGUGAGUGUCUAGUGGGAGCCUGAAUAGUGUGUUCCAGAGUAUUGGCUGACAGUACGCUUUGCCCUUUCGGGAAAGCUUUCUAUGGAGAUGCCCCACUGUCAGUUGUGAGGCUGCGGCACCACAACGCUCCGGACAGAGUCGUGGGAGUGUCUGGAUGGAUAGCUACGUAUCCUGGCAACGGCCUGUCCUCCAGGUCCCAGAGCCAUAGAAAUAAAGUGCUUCUUCAGAGUGAAAGCAUUUUUUUACCCAAAUGGAAUAGAAAGUAUCAGAGAGCAACACAUAUAGAAAGGGUUUUCUGGAUAGAGGCCUCAGCUUGGAACUUCAGAGGUUGAAAGUACAGCUCAAAUGCCUGAGAUGGAGGUGAGCCUCCAAAGAAAUUGCAUCUUGGAAGAGGAUUUGCAGUCUGAAGAGAAGCUUUAGCUUCCAGCUCCUUUCAGACAUCUUCUGAACCCUUGUGUGGAGGAAAAGCUAGUUGUGCAGGAUCAAUCAACAGACAAACUUGACCCAGAGGUCUUUAGAGCAUUGGCACUGGCAAGAUCAAAGAAAUGGUGAAAUUGCUUGUGCUGAAACAGUUUCAGAUCCUCCUGAACAAGGAGUUUAAAUUUUGUCUGAAAACUCUGAAAAUAAUGAAGAUUGUGUCUCUGGAGGAUUUAACCCAAAUGAGGAAGAAAUAAGUAUGGCUUAUAGAAAAAAUGUACUAAUGGAAUAAGCUUAGAAGAAGGCAGUCUGCAAAGUAAAAGUAGGAAACAUAAGUUUUCCUUACCCUUCUUUAGGCACAGAGUCAAUCCUAGGUAAUUUUAUUUUCUAUUACUGCACAAACUUUCCAACAAGAGUGAAAAGGGCAAAAAUCAGCCAGAAUCUUAAAACACAUCAAGUGUAUUUUCCAUGUUUCUUUCCACUCCCUGACUAGAUAAAUGCAUACUUUUUACUCAAUUAUAAUUGUAGAAUAGUCACAAUAAUUGUUUUAGACAUUUUCAUUCUAUCACAAGCAUUUUAUAUGUUGGCUGUGUAGUUUUUAUAAUUAUUUUGAUAGGGGUGGGCUGUUCCCUCAAGAUGCUAUUUUAAUACUUUGUAAAUUUUAUUUCUUUUUAUGGCAUAUUUAGAUUGUUUGGAAUUUUUGAUAUUUUAAUGCUUUCUGCAGGGAUCAUCUUUUAACCUGUGAUUGUUUUUGUUUUUAAAAGAUUCUGUUUUGUAAAAAAUGAUUCUCUUAUAACUAGUUGUUAAGAGUACUAUUACUUCAACAAAAUGCUGCAUAAUUCUGUGGUAUGAGGGGUCAAAUUACUCUCCAAAAAGGAUAUAACACUUUAUACUACAUGAACACCUUACUGAGGUAAAGUUUCUCCUUAAUAUUUUCAUCUUCCUUUUUCGUAUCUGAUUGUCACCUCCUAGUGUUCCCUGCCCAGGCAUCCUAUGUCCUCAUGCUUCCCUCUCUGUUCCUGCCCCCGAUAGCAUCCAGAUAACUGUUACCUGAAACCCACUGUAAUAACAGAGAUAAGAAUUCCUUUCUCUGAAACUUAGGAGUUGGGAGUUAUAUCUGUCCUUUUGCUUCUUUUGAUAGCUUUCUUUGGAGAGAAGGUAGGGGCCACAUCUGUUGUUCUGAGGGACUUGCUGGUCAGUAGUUUGUCUUCAGGACUCCAUGUUCUUUUGACAUCUCUGUCUUCCCAGGAUUCUUCCUUCCCUCAAAAUGGAGCCCAAAGGAGAGAGGCUGGCUACCAUGCAUCUAACUGCAGGACACCAGGUAAAUAUGAGUUUAUUCCCAUCAGAAAUGCCAUUCCAGUGCUCAGAGCAUUAACACAUUUUAUCCUCUCACCUUAAAAUUUAUGUUCCCAUAUAUACACUUCUGAAAUCAAAUCUAAAGUUAUUUGACUUAUUGUAGUAAAUGGUAGGUUCUGUAGAAAAAGCUCCCUUUCAACAGUACCAUUCUCUAGUAAUCACUUCUUCAAGUCAUUGGUUUAUUUAUCCAUCCAUUAAACAUUUUGUGUUAGGUUCCUGUUGCUGCAUAACAAAUUACCACACAUUUGGCAGCUGAAAACAACACCCAUUUAUUAUGUCACAUUUUUGUAGGUCAGAAGUCAGAACACGGCUCAACUGGGUUCUCUGUUCAGGGUUUAAUACAGGCUGAAAUCAGGAUGUCAGCUGGAACCACAGUCUCAUCUGAGGCUUGAGAUCCUCUUCUAAGCUCAUUUAGUUUGUUAGCAGAAUUCAGUUCCUUAUGUGUAGGACCCAUUUUCUUGUUGGCUUUUGGCUGGGCAUUGUUCUUAGCAACUAGAGGCUGUCCUUUGGUCUUAGCCACAUGGCCCUAUCACAGUGAGGCAGCUUGCUUCUUCACAGCCAGAAGGAGAAUCUGUCCAGUCUCCUACCAUAGAGUCUUAUAUAAUGUAACCUAAUCAAGGAAAUGACUACCCCACCAUAGUCACAGGAACUAUGCACACUCAAAGGGAGGAGAUUAUACAGAGUUAGUACCACAGGAGUGAGAAUCUUGGAGCUAUCUUAGAAUUCUACUCAAUAGAAUAUAUGCAGAAGUGUCAGGUGGCAGCUUCUGGGAAACUUUCUGAAGAAAUUGCUGAUCUUUGCCCUUCUUUAUCCCUUCUGUUCUCCUUAUAAUCUUGGAGUAUGAGGUCAAGUUUAUACAUGAUGGACAAACAAGAUAGAAGAGCCUGGGUUCCUGACACUUUGGAAUGCCAUGAUUGCCCUCACCAUCUACCUAGACUCUUGUGUGGUCCAUGGUUAUAAAACCCCACUGUGUGCAAAACAGUGUCACCUUGAAAUUGUAGAGAACAGAUUGGGAGAACGUAGAUGGCUGUGAUGAGGAGAGACUGCCAGCCAUGAAAUUAGUCAGGAGACACAUAAUUUAGGCACGAAGACCUAGAUUUUAAGUUCAGAUACCUUCCCACAGUUAUUAUACAUAUGCAUGUUUCAAAUGGGCUAGGGAUUGGGGGAAAGAGAGCCUCUUUACCAAAUAAAAAGAAACCCUGAAAAUUUCUAAACUAAUUAGCCAACUGUCUUCAAGCUUGAAACUUAGGUGGUCCUACAGAGCGGGAACAGAUGCAGCAUAUCUCACUGUGGCUCACCACAUUCCCCAGAAUCCCCCAACAAAAGCCAGGUACCUGAAGAUGACAUUGUUUUGCACAUGGUGUACCACAUAAUUUUAUAGUAGGGGCAUUUGUCACUAUUCAGGAAGCCUGCUACUUUCAUUUAAAGAAAUGUUUACUCAGGGGGCUUCCCUGGUGGCGCAG